UGGGGAAUUUUGGACAAUGGGGGAAACCCUGAUCCAGCCAUCCCGCGUGUUCGAUGAAGGCCUUCGGGUUGUAAAGCACUUUUGGCAGGAAAGAAACGUCAUGGGUUAAUACCCCGUGAAACUGACGGUACCUGCAGAAUAAGCACCGGCUAACUACGUGCCAGCAGCCGCGGUAAUACGUAGGGUGCAAGCGUUAAUCGGAAUUACUGGGCGUAAAGCGUGCGCAGGCGGUUCGGAAAGAAAGAUGUGAAAUCCCAGAGCUAAACUUUGGAACUGCAUUUUUAACUACCGUGCUGGAGUGUGUCAGAGGGAGGUGGAAUUCCGCGUGUAGCAGUGAAAUGCGUAGAUAUGCGGAGGAACACCGAUGGCGAAGGCAGACUCCUGGGAUAACACUGACGCUGAAGCACGAAAGCGUGGGGAGCAAACAGG
rnacentral:rRNA from 1 species